GAUGAACGCUAGCGGCAGGCUUAACACAUGCAAGUCGAGGGGUAGUCUAGCAAUAGAUGAGACCGGCGCACGGGUGCGUAACGCGUAUGCAACCUACCUUUUACAGGGGGAUAGCCCAGAGAAAUUUGGAUUAAUACCCCAUGGUAUAAUUUGAUGGCAUCAUUAGAUUAUUAAAGUUCCAACGGUAAAAGAUGGGCAUGCGUCCUAUUAGCUAGAUGGUAAGGUAACGGCUUACCAUGGCUACGAUAGGUAGGGGUCCUGAGAGGGAGAUCCCCCACACUGGUACUGAGACACGGACCAGACUCCUACGGGAGGCAGCAGUGAGGAAUAUUGGACAAUGGGCGCAAGCCUGAUCCAGCCAUGCCGCGUGCAGGAAGACGGUCCUAUGGAUUGUAAACUGCUUUUGUACGGGAAGAAACACUCCCUCGUGAGGGAGCUUGACGGUACCGUAAGGAUAAGGAUCGGCUAACUCCGUGCCAGCAGCCGCAGUAACAC
rnacentral:rRNA from 1 species